UGUCAUGGUCAAAACAUAUUGAUACAACAGUAGCUAAAAUGGGGAGAAGUAUGUCUAUAAUAAAGCACUGCUCUACCUUCUUAACAACACUAUCAACAAGGCAGGUCCUACAGGCCCUAGUUUCUACCUUCUUAACAACACUAUCAACAAGGCAGGUCCUUCAGGCCCUAGUUUCUACCUUCUUAACAGCACUAUCAACAAGGCAGGUCCUACAGGCCCUAGUUUUGUCGCACCUUGACUACUGUUCAGUCGUGUGGUCAGAUGCCACAAAAAGGGACUUAGGAAAAUUGCAAUUGGCUCAGAACAGGGCAGCACGGCUGGCCCUUGGAUGUACACAGAGAGCUAAUAUUAAUAAUAUGCAUGUCAAUCUCUGAAAGUGGAGGAGAGAUUGACUUCAUCACUAGUUGUAUUUAUGAGAGGUAUUGACAUGUUGAAUGCACUGAGCUGUCUGUUUGAACUACUGGCGCACAGCUGAGACACCCAUGCAUACCCCACAAGACAUGCCAACAGAGGUCUCUUCACAGUCCCCAAGUCCAGAACAGACUAUGGGAGGUGCACAGUACUACAUAGAGCCAUGACUACAUGGAACUCUAUUCCACAUCAAGUAACUGCAGCAGUAGAAUCAGAUUUUAAAAAAAGAUAAAAAUACCCCAGGAAGAG
rnacentral:lncRNA from 1 species